UCCCCAGUGGCUCAGCGGUAAAGAAUCCGCCUGCAGUACGGGAGACACGGGUUCGAUUCCUGGGUGGGGAA
rnacentral:tRNA from 1 species